UACGUAGGGUGCAAGCGUUGUCCGGAAUUAUUGGGCGUAAAGAGCUCGUAGGCGGUUUGUCGCGUCGGCUGUGAAAACCUAGGGCUCAACUCUGGGCUUGCAGCCGAUACGGGCAAACUAGAAUUCGGUAGGGGAGACUGGAAUUCCUGGUGUAGCGGUGAAAUGCGCAGAUAUCAGGAGGAACACCGGUGGCGAAGGCGGGUCUCUGGACAGUUCCUGACGCUGAGGCA
rnacentral:rRNA from 1 species